ACUAAUACAAAAAACUAGUCUAGGUGCCCUAAAAUACAAAGGCUGAAAAAUCCUACAUUUCUAGGGUAUCCUACCUACAUUAUGGAGCCUUAAAUACAAGACCCAAAAAUAAUGAAACUUUAAUCUAAUAUGUACAAAGAUAAGUGGGUUCAUACUUAAUCCAUGGGCCCAAAAUCUACCCUAAGGCUCAUGAGAACCCUAGGGCCUUCUCUUGCAUCUCUGACUCAAUCUUCUUGGAGUCUUCUAUCCAAUGCCCUUGGGGGGUGGGAUUACAUCAAAUUCUCUCCCUCUUUUCUCAUUCAAUUUUGUGCGCCCCCCCCCCCCCCCCCCCUCUCAUUCUUUUUCUCCAUUGAAGCUUCCUUUCUAAGCUUUUUAUCCAAGACACUCUUUUGGUGGCAAAGCUUCUCCUUUCAUGGCUUAUUCCCUAGUGGAUGGAGCCUCCUCUAACCUCUUCUCCUUUAUCAUUCCCUGCAUCUCCAUGGUGGAAAAUCACCAUUGAAGGAUCUCAUUGAAGCUCAAAGAUCUAGCCUCCAUAGAAGCUUCUCAAGCAAGUUUCCAUCAUCCAUGGUCCUCCCCUUUGGACUUUAUGGAUGUCAACGUGAUGGUAGAAUUGAAAAAGGAAGGUGUAUGUGUUUAUUUUGUCAAUAGAGACUCCUUGGAGUGGGCUCCAAAUGAUAGACAUCUUCUCUUUCAUGAUAUGUGUCUGCAUUGGUCUAUCUGCCAGAAAACACAUUACUAAGCAUAAAGCAUGACCAAAACCUUCAUUCGAGAUAGCUUCCGCUAGGGAUGGCAAAACGGGCUGGUCUAGCUCAUUUUGACCCACCCCACCACUAGCCUACCAAAAACAAGGUGGGGCAGGCUAGCCCGCUCAGACUUUAUGGGUUGGACAUGCUAGCCCACCCUGCAUGAAGGUGGGCUGAUGGUUGACGAGCUGGCUCAUCCUUUCAAAAAACAAAAAAUCUUAAAAAAUAAUUGACAAUACAAAGUAUUUAACAUAACAAACUAGUCUUAAAAUCUUAAAUCACACAAAAUACUAAUAGUCUUCAAUAAUAACUAAUAAUAAUAAGUCUACCAAGUAACUAAAUCAUAACACAAAAUCAUAAACUCUAAAACUAGUCUUAAAAUCUUAUACAAUACAAAGUAAUUAAACAUAAACCAAACUAAAAGAUCAUUCCUAUCCUUUUUUUUAGUAGUCUCAUAUAUUAAUAUAAUUAUUAUUUAUAAAAAAAUUAAUAUUGUGGGCUGGCACGUCAACCCCUCCGUCUAGCCUCUGGCCCAACAAGCUGGCAGGUUAGGCGGGGUGGGCUUGUGGGCCAAGAUCUCCAUCCUGCAUCACCAAAUUGAUAGGGGUCUGGCCCGCCUAGCCCAAACCGUUUUGUCAUCCAUAACUUCUGCAAGUAUUUCAACUUCUAGAACAUCAUCUAGGAUGAGCUCAUCAAGAACUGGUUCUGUUUCAGCCAUGGUAGUGAACAGACAAAAAUGGAAAUAAAAAAUAGGAUUUUAAACUCACAAGACCAGCAAAGAAAAGAAAAGAUCAGACCCGAAAGGAAAGAAUCAAUUGGGAUAGAAUAAGAAAACUAUGGUGACUUCUCACAGAGAGAACUUCUAUUUGGUCCUUACACCGUCUAGUAUCAUAUAAAAUUG
rnacentral:lncRNA from 1 species